rnacentral:rRNA from 1 species
UCGAGGAUCUUCGGCAAUGGGCGCAAGCCUGACCGAGCGACGCCGCGUGUGCGAUGAAGGCCUUCGGGUUGUAAAGCACUGUCGAGGGGGAGGAAAGCCCGCAAGGGCCUGACCUAUCCCUGGAGGAAGCACGGGCUAAGUUCGUGCCAGCAGCCGCGGUAAGACGAACCGUGCGAACGUUGUUCGGAUUCACUGGGCUUAAAGGGCGCGUAGGCGGCUGGCCAAGUCAGGGGUGAAAUCUUUCGGCUCAACCGGAAAACAGCCCCUGAUACUGGCCGGCUGGAGGGGCGUAGGGGCAGACGGAACUUCCGGUGGAGCGGUGAAAUGCGUAGAUAUCGGAAGGAACGCCGGUGGCGAAAGCGGUCUGCUGGACGCCUUCUGACGCUGAGGCGCGAAAGCCAGGGGAGCGAACGGGAUUAGAUACCCCCGUAGUCC